UACGAAGGGAGCGAGCGUUGUUCGGAAUCACUGGGCUUAAAGCGUGCGUAGGCGGGCAGGAAAGUCAGAAGUGAAAGCCCCGGGCUUAACCCGGGAACUGCUUUUGAAACUUCCUGUCUAGAAACCGGAAGAGGUUAGCGGAAUACCCAGUGUAGAGGUGAAAUUCGCAGAUAUUCGGAAGAACACCAGUGGCGAAGGCGUCUCACUGGACACAUAUUGACGCUGAGGUGCGAAAGCGUGGGGAGCAAACAGG
rnacentral:rRNA from 1 species